AUAGAUUGUCGGUGUGGGCAGUUUAGCGAGGCUCUCGUUGAGCCUGUGAUUUGAGGGCAGUAUCAUAUAUGACGGGAUGAAAACGUCUUACAAACAUUUUUCUAACUUCAUUCUUUUUUUACCUAAACUUUGUUUGAAAACAUAAUAUUUAUUUAAUCUGUUCUUAUUUUUAUUUUAUUACUUCAAAAAUGAAGUAAAUAUGUUUCUAUAUAUGUUUUAUUUAUCACUCUAUUUUUCACUUUAAAAAUAACAAAAUUAAAAUUAAAUUUGAACUUUAUUUUAAAG
rnacentral:lncRNA from 1 species